rnacentral:rRNA from 1 species
CAGUCGCCGCGGGAAUACGAAGGGUGCAAGCGUUAAUCGGAAUUACUGGGCGUAAAGCGUGCGCAGGCGGUUUGUUAAGACAGAUGUGAAAUCCCCGGGCUUAACCUGGGAACUGCGCUCGUGACUGCACAGCUAGAGUAUGGCAGAGGGGGGUGGAAUUCCACGUGUAGCAGUGAAGUGCGUAGAGAUGUGGAGGAACACCGAUGGCGAAGGCAGCCCCCUGGGCCAAUACUGACGCUCAUGCACGAAAGCGUGGGGAGCAAACAGGAUUAGAUACCCCUGUAGUCCCUGUCUCUUAUAC